AGCUUUGUGCAGUGGCAGUAUCGUAGCCAAUGAGGUUUAUCCGAGAUGCAAUUAUUGCUAAUUAAAAAAAAAAGUGGGAUAGAUGGGUCUGAUUUUCAGGGGAGUGUCUGGCAUCAUUUAAGCCAGGGAUGACUCU